GGGACUGGCCUUACAGACACAGAUGGUUUAUUCAUAGUAAUAGGAGGAAAGGUGGAGGAGAGUUGCUUGUAGGGGUGUGAUUUAGAAGAUGAAUGUUUAUAACAUGACCUAAGGAAUUUCAUCCUCCUCUGGAAAACUGUGUAGGAGAGAAUCCUAAUGGAUAAAGAGUAAUGUCUUCUGGGCUCCUGCCAAACGUUUGGACUUGUGAAAAGCCUCUGCAUUCACCUUUUACUGUUUAUUGUAAACUCGCUACUUCACCAUAGUUGCUGGCUCUUUCUGAAGGGAGUGGUCACAAAUUUCUUGCCUCACUAUGACUCUGGGGAAGGAAGAGAGUGGAUGCUGCCUCAGGAAGGAGAAGAGCGUUAUGUGGGAGAAUCCAUGUCAGAGAGGAAGCGGAAUUGAAACUCCCAAAAGGAGUCUAAGAAAUAAAAUAACUUUAAGGGAAUCCUAGUGAAGAUAGGUUUCCCUGAAAAGACUGAGGAAAUGCUAAGUCUCUUUGAAGAAUUCCUAUAUCAAACAUGACAUCUCUCAAGUGAUGGAUUAGAAAAGGUAAAGUGUUAGCAUAACGAUCUGGAAUGAGGCAUAGAUUUUCUCCAGAAAUGAGGCUAACAUGUGUGAACUCCCAGAUUUCCCAGAGCUGAGAGAAGAUUGUACAUGCCCUAAGUGAAGCUAUUCCAUGGGGGAAAAGCCCACACAACGGCUAUGGAGUAGACUCAGUCUAGGUGUGGGGGAGAGAGAAGGUCAUGCCUCCAUAGUGCCAGGAAGCUAUGUAGUAGACACUUAGCUACUUGUUCAAAAACAAGUGAGCAUAGUACAUGAUAGAGCCGACAGUUAGGUGCCACCAACACCCAAAACCAGACCAUUUGAGGGGCCCAGAACUAGAGGCAGUAAUCAACAGACCAAGAGUUUCACCAGCCAUGGACUUUAGUCACAGAUAUCACACAAGUGCCCAGGGAACAGCCCUGGCCAACCACACUGGGUCAGAGACCCAGCUGGUACACCAUCUUCCUCAUCACCUUGAGGACACUGGGCAUCCCUCUUCAGUCAAAUGACAUUUUGGUUGAGGGAGGUGGGAAACCUCGGUGGUAAAACGUUUUUCCAAAGAUGGGCAUGCACCUUGAAGAAUCUCUUUAAAUUUUAAGAUACAUUUUUGAAUCCAAAGACUCCUGAAAAUGGAAAAAUUUCUAUCCCCUGUUGGUCCCUCCCACCAAUGGGCCCAGCAGGAUGGGGACUUAUGGGGAUUUGUUGCAGUGAUUAGAUACAGAGAAAUAAA